UACGUAGGUGGCAAGCGUUGUCCGGAUUUACUGGGCGUAAAGGAUGCGUAGGCGGAUUUUUAAGUGGGAUGUGAAAUUCCGAGGCUCAACCUCGGCGCUGCAUUCCAAACUGGAAGUCUAGAGUGCGGGAGAGGAAAGUGGAAUUCCUAGUGUAGCGGUGAAAUGCGUAGAGAUUAGGAAGAACACCAGUGGCGAAGGCGACUUUCUGGACCGUAACUGACGCUGAUGCAUGAAAGCGUGGGGAG
rnacentral:rRNA from 1 species